GAUCUUCAUUCCAAAGCAUGAUCCUAUGAGUCAUCCGCACAGACGCUCUGCCUGAUGGCCUGGAAGAGCAGCUCCCCCCACGAAGCCUGAAGGAAUGCUGCCUGCAGCCUCCAGCUCCUGGGCUUCCUGCAGGACACUGUUUUCCCAGAGUAGCUACUGCCAGAAUGAAAGUCCCAGUCUUAUGCCCAUGUUAGGACCGUCUUUGGAAGGAGCCCAGAAGGGCACUCCAGUGCCAGAAGGGCUGGGCUUAAGGUAUCUUUUCCCUACAGACAUACACACAUCAUCUUAAAGGAUUUGAAAUGACUAACUGUUGCACGAACAAACAUCUAUUCACCCAGACAGGAACAGAUGACAGUCUGAAAAAAUCAGUACGCUAAGUCCAUCCUGGAACAUAUGAGUCUACGGGGAGUUACCGGAGUGAGAUGGAGGACUCACCCCCACACAGGUGAGGACUCAGGAAAGA
rnacentral:lncRNA from 1 species